UACGGGGGGGGCAAGCGUUGUUCGGAAUUACUGGGCGUAAAGGGCUCGUAGGUGGCCAACUAAGUCAGACGUGAAAUCCCUCGGCUUAACCGGGGAACUGCGUCUGAUACUGGAUGGCUUGAGUUUGGGAGAGGGAUGCGGAAUUCCAGGUGUAGCGGUGAAAUGCGUAGAUAUCUGGAGGAACACCGGUGGCGAAGGCGGCAUCCUGGACCAACACUGACACUGGGGAGCGAAAGCCAGGGGAGCAAACGGG
rnacentral:rRNA from 1 species